rnacentral:lncRNA from 1 species
CACUAGAGAAGGUGAACAUAUACAAUUUGGUUCACCCUUCCAAGAAGUCUAGUCUGAACAUAUUGAUAAUAUUUAAAAAGGCCAAAUAAUUCUACAACAUGCAUGAAUUUAGGCCAUUAGACUUCAACAACAUGACAAAUAUGAAGGUGUGGUAUGAGGACUGAGUAAUUUUACUUUUUCUAACCUUUUACCUAUUUUAUUUCUUACAUUAGAAGUC